AAGCGUCUUGCUGCGUCGGCGCGGGCUGGACCUCUCGGGGUUACAGCCUUGCUGAAUUAUUCACCCUUGUCUUUUGCGUACUUCUUGUUUCCUUGGUGGGUUCGCCCACCACUAGGACAAACAUAAACCUUUUGUAAUUGCAAUCAGCGUCAGUAACAAAUUAAUAAUUACAACUUUCAACAACGGAUCUCUUGGUUCUGGCAUCGAUGAAGAACGCAGCGAAAUGCGAUAAGUAGUGUGAAUUGCAGAAUUCAGUGAAUCAUCGAAUCUUUGAACGCACAUUGCGCCCUUUGGUAUUCCAAAGGGCAUGCCUGUUCGAGCGUCAUUUGUACCCUCAAGCUUUGCUUGGUGUUGGGCGUCUUGUCUCUAGCUUUGCUGGAGACUCGCCUUAAAGUAAUUGGCAGCCGGCCUACUGGUUUCGGAGCGCAGCACAAGUCGCACUCUCUAUCAGCAAAGGUCUAGCAUCCAUUAAGCCUUUUUUUCAACUUUUGACCUCGGAUCAGGUAGGGAUACCCGCUGAACUUAAGCAUAUCAAAAAGCCCGGGAGGA
rnacentral:rRNA from 1 species